CGCCGCCAUCUUUUCUCCCCUCAGCCCGCCAGCCCCGCGGCCGGGACCCGCCACCGAAUGACGGCCCCCGCGCGCGGCCAAUCCGCGAAGCCGCGCCUGCGCACCAGAGGCGGGCGGGAGCGGGCGGAGGGCGGGGAAUGAAUCUAAGCCUCCAGAGACAGCGCCUCCUGCUGCCUGAACGAGAACUGCACCUUUCUCUGCAAGGAUCUCUGGAUUUGUGUGAAAACUGAGCCCCAGACAGGUUAAGGGGCUUUCCUAAAGUUGCACAAAUGGCUUCUACUCACCAGAGGAUCUGAGUCCAGAGAACUUGGGGUGCUGUCUUUGACUGUCCUAUCCUCGGGAGGCGCAGUGGCUCAUGCCUGUAAUCCCAGCAUUUAGGGAGGCCAAGACAGGAAGAUCACUUGAGGUCAGAAGUUCAAGACCAGCCUGGCCAACGUGGUGAAACCCUGUUUCUACU
rnacentral:lncRNA from 1 species